UUUGGACAAUGGGCGAAAGCCUGAUCCAGCCAUGCCGCGUGUGUGAAGAAGGCCUUCGGGUUGUAAAGCACUUUNAGUUGGGAGGAAGGGNAGUAAAUUAAUACUUUGNUGUUUUGACGUUACCGACAGAAUAAGCACCGGCUAACUCCGUGCCAGCAGCCGCGGUAAUACGGAGGGUGCAAGCGUUAAUCGGAAUUACUGGGCGUAAAGCGCGCGCAGGUGGUUNGUUAAGUCNGAUGUGAAAUCCCCGGGCUCAACCUGGGAACUGCAUUNGAAACUGNCNAGCUAGAGUAUGGUAGAGGGGGGUGGAAUUCCCNGUGUAGCGGUGAAAUGCGUAGAUAUCGGNAGGAACACCGGUGGCGAAGGCGACCCCCUGGACUAAUACUGAC
rnacentral:rRNA from 1 species